rnacentral:rRNA from 1 species
GAGGAAAAGAAAAUAACCAUGAUUCCCCUAGUAACGGCGAGUGAAGAGGGAAAAGCUCAAAGUUGGAACCUGGCUGUCUUAGAUAGUCCGGAUUGUAAACUAAAGAGCGUGAAUCCAGGCAAGCCGGUUGAUCAAGUCCUUUGGAAUGAGGCGCCACUGAGGGUGAGAGCCCCGUAAAUCGACUGAGCAUUUGUCUUUUGUGUUUCGCGUUCAAAGAGUCAGGUUGUUUGGGAAUGCAGCCUAAAGCUGGUGGUAAAUCCCACCUAAAGCUAAAUACAGGCGAGAGACCGAUAGCGAACAAGUACCGUGAGGGAAAGAUGAAAAGUACUUUGAAAAGAGAGUUAAACAGUAUGUGAAAUUGCCAAGAGGGAAGCAUUUGGAGUUAGACUGACUUGAAGUUAAUCAGCUUGGUCUUUGGACUGGGUGUACUUGACUUCUAUGUCUGCCAAUAGCAGUUAGUCCUGGUGGAAAAAACUGAAGGGAAGGUAGUCCUUCGGGAUGUUUAUAGACCUUUGGAAAAUACACUGGGAUUGACUGAGGAAUGCAGUAGAUGCUAUUAAGGCUUCGUCUAGUAGGUGUUAGGUGAAGGUACUUGGUAUUUUCAGCUUGCUGAUGUGCUAGGUUACUUGAGCUUAAUUGCUUGCUAGAACUGUAAUCUACUUUGGUUAUUGGCUUAAUGACUCUAAAUGGCCCGUCU